rnacentral:rRNA from 1 species
AAUAAAUACCUUACAGAGGUCUCGUUAACCGAGAUCUCUCAAACGGAAUGAGUACAACGUGAAUCCUUUAACGAGGAUCGACUGGAGGGCAAGCCUGGUGCCAGCAGCCGCGGUAAUUCCAGCUCCAGUAGCGUAUAUUAAAGCUGUUGCGGUUAAAAAGCUCGUAGUUGGAUAUCAGUGCGUGUCCGGUCCGGUAUGCCCGGCGGUGGCGUUCGCGCGUCGCUGCUGGGCUCCCAAAUAUCGGCUGGCCGCAUUCAAUCGUGCCGGAUCCGUCGGCGGGCCGUUCUUCGUAGGGGCCUGUUGGCGGCCGGCGAGGUUACCUUGAACAAAUUAGAGUGCUCAAAGCAGGCUCUGAAUGCCUGUAUACAUAUUCAUGGAAUUGGAGAAUACGUCCCUGGCUCGAUUUGGUUGGUUUUGCGAGUCGAAGGGAAAUGAUUAAUAGGGACUGACGGAGGCAUUCGUAUUGCGACGCGAGGGGUGAAAUCCUGUGACCGUCGCACGACGAACUACUGCGAAAGCAUUUGCCGAGAAUGUUUUCAUUAGUCAAGAACGAAAGUUAGAGGUUCGAAGGCGAUCAGAUACCGCCCUAGUUCUAACCGUAAACGAUGUCGACCAGCAAUCCGCAACGGUCACUACACGGACUGUGCGGGCAGCUUCCCCGGGGAAACCAGAGUUUUUGGACUCCGGGGGAAGUAUGGUUGCAAAGCUGAAACUUAAAGGAAUUGACGGAAGGGCACCACCAGGAGUGGAGCUUGCGGCUUAAUUUGACUCAACACGGGACAACUCACCAGGCCCGGACACCGUAAGGAUUGACAGACUGAUAGCUCUCUCUUGAUUCAGUGGGUGGUGGUGCAUGGCCGUUCUUAGUUGGUGGAGUGAUUUGUCUGGUUUAUUCCGAUAACGAACGAGACUCUGGCCUAUUAAACUUGACA